rnacentral:rRNA from 1 species
UAAUACCGCAUAAGCCCACAGCUCGGCAUCGAGCAGAGGGAAAAGGAGUGAUCCGCUUUGAGAUGGCCUCGCGUCCGAUUAGCUAGUUGGUGAGGUAAUGGCCCACCAAGGCAACGAUCGGUAGCCGGACUGAGAGGUUGAACGGCCACAUUGGGACUGAGACACGGCCCAGACUCCUACGGGAGGCAGCAGUGGGGAAUAUUGCACAAUGGGGGAAACCCUGAUGCAGCGACGCCGCGUGGAGGAAGAAGGUCUUCGGAUUGUAAACUCCUGUUGUUGAGGAAGAUAAUGACGGUACUCAACAAGGAAGUGACGGCUAACUACGUGCCAGCAACCGCGGUAAAACGUAGGUCACAAGCGUUGUCCGGAAUUACUGGGUGUAAAGGGAGCGCAGGCGGGAGAACAAGCUGGAAGUGAAAUCCAUGGGCUCAACCCAUGAACUGCUUUCAAAACUGUUUUUCUUGAGUAGUGCAGAGGUAGGCGGAAUUCCCGGUGUAGCGGUGGAAUGCGUAGAUAUCGGGAGGAACACCAGUGGCGAARGCGGCCUACUGGGCACCAACUGACGCUGAGGCUCGAAAGUGUGGGUAGCAAACAGGAUUAGAUACCCUGGUAGUCCACACCGUA